rnacentral:rRNA from 1 species
GGGCACCUGGNAUAGGGGGCUCGNNGAUUGGGNUCCCUUGCCCGUAGCGAAAAAGGCGUGAAGUGCCCCCGCCUGGGGGGAGUAUGNUCGCAAGGGCUUGAAACUCAAAGGAANUGACGGGGGCUCACACAAGCGGUGGAGCAUGUGGCUUAAUUCCGAGGCUACGCGAAGAACCUUAUCCUGGGCUUGACAUGCACGGAUUAGCCGGCGGANACGCCGGCGAGGCCGCGAGGUACAACGUGCACAGGUGCUGCAUGGCUGUCGUCAGCUCGUGCCGUGAGGUGUUGGGUUAAGUCCCGUAACGAGCGAAACCCCUGUGGCCAGUCGCCAGCGCGUCAUGGCGGGGACUCUGGCCAGACCGCCGGCGUCAAGCCGGAGGAAGGCGGGGACGACGUCAAGUCAUCAUGGCCCUNAUGCCCAGGGCUGCACACGUGCUACAAUGGGGCGGACAGAGCGUCGCCAGGCCGCAAGGCCGAGCCAAUNGCAAAAAUCGCCCCUCAGUUCGGAUUGCGGGCUGCAANCCGCCCGCAUGAAGCNNNAAUCGCUAGUAANCGGCCGGAUNAGGCACCUGGNCGCCGGGUGAAUGUGUNCCCUGGAGGCCCCUUGGUUAC